rnacentral:rRNA from 1 species
GACGAACGCUGGCGGCGUGCUUAACACAUGCAAGUCGAACGGAAAGGCCCUGCUUUUGUGGGGUGCUCGAGUGGCGAACGGGUGAGUAACACGUGAGUAACCUGCCCUUGACUUUGGGAUAACUUCAGGAAACUGGGGCUAAUACCGGAUAGGAGCUCCUGCUGCAUGGUGGGGGUUGGAAAGUUUCGGCGGUUGGGGAUGGUCUCGCGGGUUAUCAGCUUGUUGGUGGGGUAGUGGCUUACCAAGGCUUUGACGGGUAGCCGGCCUGAGAGGGUGACCGGCCACAUUGGGACUGCGGUACGGCGCAGAAGCCUACGGGAGGCAGCAGGCGGGAAUAUUGCACAAUGGGCGGAAGCCUGAUGCAGCAACGCCGCGUUCGGAAUGACGUCCUUCGGGGUGUAAACCGCUUUCGACUGUGACGAAGCGGGAGUGACGGUAAUGGGUAAAGAAGCACCGGCUAACUACGUG